GAACGGCAACGGGAGCACUAAAU
rnacentral:miRNA from 1 species